rnacentral:ncRNA from 1 species
AGUUCUGAUGCACCGCGAAACGAAAUUUGCAGGUGGAGAACGAGGAGACAUUCGAGGCACAGAGUGCCCGAUCGAAAGCGCUGUUGGAUUCGUUCCAACAGCGCUUUUUA